rnacentral:rRNA from 1 species
AUUGAACGCUGGCGGCAGGCCUAACACAUGCAAGUCGAACGCCUCCCGGACCCGUGAGUCAUUUCUUGGAAACUGCCUGAUGUCCUGGGAUAACUACUGGAAACUGUUGCUACUCCCUCAUCCUAUCGCAUGUGCCCUUAUGGGAUUUGCUAGUAGGUGGGGUAACGGAUCACCUAGGCGACGAUCCCUAGCUUGUCUGAGAGGAUGACCAGCCACACUGGAACUGAGACACGGUCCAGACUCCUACGGGAGGCAGCAGUGGGGAAUAUUGCACAAUGGGCGCAAGCAUGAUGCAGCCAUGCCGCGUGUAUGAAGAGGGCCUUCGGGUUGUAAAGUACUUUCAGCGGGGAGGCGUGACCGGAAGAAGAAGCAAAGGCUAACUACGUGCCAGCCGCCGCGGUAAUAA